GAUGAAGAACGUAGCGAAAUGCGAUAAGUAAUGUGAAUUGCAGCAUUCAGUGAAUCAUCGAAUCUUUGAACGCACAUUGCGCCCGCUAGUAUUCUGGCGGGCAUGCCUGUCCGAGCGUCAUUUCAACCCUCAAGCCCCCGGGCUUGGUGUUGGGGAUCGGCGAGCCUCCGCGCCCGCCGUCCCCUAAAUCUAGUGGCGGUCUCGCUGUAGCUUCCUCUGCGUAGUAGCACACCUCGCACUGGGAAACAGCGCGGCCACGCCGUUAAACCCCCAACUUCUGAACGUUUGACCUCGGAUCAGGUAGGAAUACCCGCUGAACUUAAGCAUAUCAAUAAGCGGAGGA
rnacentral:misc_RNA from 1 species